UAAAAAAAAAUUAGAGUAAUUGUUAACUUAUUUUGAAAUAAUUACAUAUUUAAAGUAUGCUUUGCUUGUAGGUUUUAAAAAGCCUUUAUAGAUACAGGGUAUUCUUAAAUAUGUAGACCAUCUUUACGAUACGAAGAAGUUAGUUUUCACGUUGUCAAAAUAUUGAUUUUUCCAAAAAUAAGCUUGACCUAAAUCCCUUAGUCUCCAGCAUUUGUAAGAAAGUAGUUUAAAUUUCAUACUAAGGUACUUUACACGAUUUUAAAUCUUGGUAAUUGUGUUAAUAUGAGGGCAACUGGUGAACUCUUUUAAUGCUGGCUGACUGACUUUUCCUCUCGUCUUCCUACGCUGCCAGACAUACCAUGCAAUGCCUGCCUCGGCCCCAGCUUGCUGGCACGGAGGGGUUCGAGAACACUUGCAAUAUCACUUCCCGUCGGCCACCUCGCGCUCGGUGCGAGUGUAUAUACGUUUUAAAAAUACAAUACUGGAAAAGGCAGGAACUGUACCAACAAAUGGGGUAUUUUUAGGGGGGAGGGGGUUCAGUUCAACUUAAAUAUAGUAUUUUGCCAGUAAUUUUGUGCUAAAUUAAUGCUGUACUGUAUAAUAGGUAAAUGAUUAAAUUUGAACAGUAACUAUUGUGUACCGAUCAUAGUUAAUGUUAGUGAUCAAAUAUUACAGGUUAUACCUACUAAUUGUGCUGUGAGGGUUGUUCUCUGAAUUGUUGUUAUACAAGUUGAUUUGUUCUGAUAUAAGUGGAUAUUUGGACUUGAUAUAAGUAUAAUUGGUCUAUAAAGGUUGACGGUUUAAUGACUUAUUUCAGAUUUGAGUGGGAGGUGGAUGACCUUUGUAGGGUAUUUGACCUUGGCUGAAGCCUUUAUAUACAAUAUACAGAAGUGUGUGGGAGGUGGAAGAGCAUUCUUGGCUAUUUGACAUUGGCUGAAGUCUUAUAAAGUGUAGAAGAAGAAGGAGGGGGGUCCACGACGUUGUUGCUGUCACUUACUCGAAUCAGUUAUCUCUGGGACUCGCUAAGACUAGUUGUCAAAUUUUUCUACUUCGGCCGUGGAAAGUGUAUCAGUUUUCCCCCGUCUCUGAAAACCUGAGGGGGGAAAUUCACCCUGGUUGAGAACCCCUGCUUUAUAGUUUACAAAGCCAUCUGAGUUACUUUCUGAAAUUCUGAUUGAUAGUUUUCAAAAUGAUUAGUUUUUGCAAAGUGUCUUACGACAGUGGUAGAAAAUAUAACAAAUUAUGGGAAGAAAAAUUCGUCUGUGUUAGUAUAGCCCGUGAUGGAAGUGAAAAUGCUCCAGUUCCAAGGAAAAUGUUGCAGAUUUGAAAGUAACACCACACAUGGUGGAGCUAUUUAACUCUGCAAUCACGUACGAGAAGGAAGAACCAGGGGACGGUGACGAACUGGACUCCACCAUUAUCAUGCUCCACCACCAUUUGAGUUUAUGAUUUGGCAGUGAAGCUUGUCGUACAUGUGGCAACCCUGUUCCUAUGCGAUUUGAGUGGGAGGUGGAUGACCUUUGUAGGGUAUUUGACCUUGGCUGAAGCCUUUAUAUACAAUAUACAGAAGUGUGUGGGAGGUGGAAGAGCAUUCUUGGCUAUUUGACAUUGGCUGAAGUCUUAUAAAGUGUAGAAGAAGAAGGAGGGGGGUCCACGACGUUGUUGCUGUCACUUACUCGAAUCAGUUAUCUCUGGGACUCGCUAAGACUAGUUGUCAAAUUUUUCUACUUCGGCCGUGGAAAGUGUAUCAGUUUUCCCCCGUCUCUGAAAACCUGAGGGGGGAAAUUCACCCUGGUUGAGAACCCCUGCUUUAUAGUUUACAAAGCCAUCUGAGUUACUUUCUGAAAUUCUGAUUGAUAGUUUUCAAAAUGAUUAGUUUUUGCAAAGUGUCUUACGACAGUGGUAGAAAAUAUAACAAAUUAUGGGAAGAAAAAUUCGUCUGUGUUAGUAUAGCCCGUGAUGGAAGUGAAAAUGCUCCAGUUCCAAGGAAAAUGUUGCAGAUUUGAAAGUAACACCACACAUGGUGGAGCUAUUUAACUCUGCAAUCACGUACGAGAAGGAAGAACCAGGGGACGGUGACGAACUGGACUCCACCAUUAUCAUGCUCCACCACCAUUUGAGUUUAUGGUUAAUCUUCACUGUAGAUUACAGAUAUUAUGUUUAUGUAAUUAUUGGGCUCUGAAUUAUAAGUGAAAAUUUUGUUUGA
rnacentral:lncRNA from 1 species